rnacentral:rRNA from 1 species
AGUGAACGCUGGCGGUAGGCCUAACACAUGCAAGUCGAACGGCAGCACAGUAAGAGCUUGCUCUUACGGGUGGCGAGUGGCGGACGGGUGAGGAAUACAUCGGAAUCUACUUUUUCGUGGGGGAUAACGUAGGGAAACUUACGCUAAUACCGCAUACGACCUACGGGUGAAAGCAGGGGAUCUUCGGACCUUGCGCGAUUGAAUGAGCCGAUGUCGGAUUAGCUAGUUGGCGGGGUAAAGGCCCACCAAGGCGACGAUCCGUAGCUGGUCUGAGAGGAUGAUCAGCCACCUUGGAACUGAGACACGGUCCAGACUCCUACGGGAGGCAGCAGUGGGGAAUAUUGGACAAAGGGCGCAAGCCUGAUCCAGCCAUACCGCGUGGGUGAAGAAGGCCUUCGGGUUGUAAAGCCCUUUUGUUGGGAAAGAAAAGCAGCAGGUUAAUACCCCGCUGUUCUGACGGUACCCAAAGAAUAAGCACCGGCUAACUUCGUG